UACGUAGGGAGCUAGCGUUGUCCGGAAUCAUUGGGCGUAAAGAACGUGUAGGCGGUCCGGUAAGUCCGCUGUGAAAGUCGGGGGCUCAACCCUCGAAUGCCGGUGGAUACUGUCGGGCUAGAGUGCGGAAGAGGCGAGUGGAAUUCCUGGUGUAGCGGUGAAAUGCGCAGAUAUCAGGAGGAACACCCGUGGCGAAGGCGGCCCCCUGGGUCGGCCCUGACGCUGAGGCGCGAAAGCGUGGGGAGCAAACAGG
rnacentral:rRNA from 1 species